rnacentral:lncRNA from 1 species
AUGUCCCUGGAGUGUCCCCAGUGCAUCCUGGCUGUCCCCAGAACAGCUCAGCAGGGCCGGGGACACUCGGGGCUGUCACCCCUGUCCCUGGGUUCGGCAUGGGGACCCUGGUAUGGGGCAGGCCAGGGCCAGCGGGUCACGGCCACGCUGGCACGUCCUGGGCUGCGGUUUGGGCGCGUGCCGUGUCCCCACGCCGUGUCCCCACGCCGUGUCCCCACGCCGUGUCCCCGCAGUGCCCGGGGCAGCGGGGACAGAGUGACCGGGGGAACUGGGGAGGGGACACGGGCUCGGGGUGGCCGUGGCCGUGUCCCCCUCCCCACAGGGACCCCCGCGCUGCCCCCGCGGGGCCCCACGCUGGGGGAGGGGAUGGCCGCGCUGUCCAUCUGUCGCGGCCCCCCCGGCUGUGCCCGCCGGGGGCUUGGGGGGGCCGCGGGCUCCUCUUCCCCUCCAGACGGAGCCUCACUUCCCCCCGUGACGCAGCCGGAGCCGCCGGCCCGGGGCCGCUUCCUGCGCGGGGGGCAGGCGAGGGGCCCACGGGCACCUCCGGGACAAUGGGGACCACCGCAGGGACCCGCGUGGGUUCGCCCCACGGGCUGCAGGGGACGGGGACAGUACGUGCGAGGUCUGAUCGUGCCCCCCACACCUUCCCCUUGUCCCUGCAUCACCCCCAGACCCUCUUCUUGUCCUCCGCGUCACCCCCAGACCCUCCUCUUGUCCCCUCCGCUCUCCCGAGUCCCGCCGCGCUGCCGUGGGGUCCGGGUGAACCGGGGACGCGUGGCCCCGUGUGAACCCCAAAAACCCAAACCUCACCCUCGAGGGGCGGGGGGUGGAGGCCACAGCCGGGGGUCGCGGCUCGGCUCCGGGCCCGCAGCCCCGGGGGGCUCCCCGAGGGGUCCCGGGGCUCCGGGCAGCCCCUCCAGAGGGUGCGGGAUGCCCUGUGGGGAUCCCUCCGUGCUCUGCCCCGUCCCUCCGGCGGUGCCCGGUGCCGCGGAGGCAUUCCCGGUGCUUCCUCUCCCGGGAUGA